GCUGUCAAGUGUCAUUUUUCCGUCGUUGGAGACAGUGAGUACAAUCUAGUACAUUUUAUGAAGAAUUCUAGUACAUUCCUAAAUUUUUCAGCGGCAGCACUGAUUGGUCAUCACAUUUCAUUUUCAUAACAUAACCGAUAACCUAAAAAUUUAGUAAAGUAAAAAUUUUGAUUGGAAAAAAUGCAUCGAUAAGGGGGCAAAGGGGGUGUGGGAAAUGGAAAUUAGUGGCUUUUUUGCUGUACUGUCUGCUAGUUUUUGCUCUGGGCUCUGGCUAGAUCUCUUGUUUAAACAAUUUUAAUCAGCUGAAAGUGGCCUACAAAAAAAACCAAGAAGGAAAUGUAUAGCCUUGUGGCUAUGAAAGGCAAAAGAGAGAUAUAAAAAGUGUAUUGGCUAGUUGGAAGAAAGUCCACAUUGUCCAUGCAUAAUAAGUUAUUACUUUAUCAACAAAUAUCAAGAAGAUAGCAGGGUCACGAGCAUCAACUUCAUAAGUUCAAGAAUAUCGAGGAAAUCCAGCUCCUCGAUACUACUGGGCAAACUAGAAGAUUGAAGAGGACAAAUCCUUUUGAACUAGUUUGAGUGAUAGGUGAUAGUGAAAAACGGAGCAUAGUGCUUGUGUGCUGUGCCUGUGUAUGUUAGAAUAGUGCACGAUCUUGUUAGAUUAGAUAAGAGACGCUAUGGGGUAAGCUCUUCAUUUUAAGAAACAGUAGUAAUUUAGGUUAAAUUAAAAUUGCUCAUUGGUCAGUUAUGACCAGAUUGUUUUUUUAUGUUUGGCAAAAAGGACUUAAGUCAGAAUUGCACAUUGAUAAUGUUUUGAUGAUUUCUGGACCAGAAAAAAACUGUUGUAGAUGUAAACUGUAUGUACAGUAGAAUCUACUACAGUACUGUAGAAAUCAUCAAAACAUUAUCGAUGUGCAAUUCUGACUUAAGCCCUUUUUCCCAAACAUCAGAGAAUUGUAAUGUACAAUAAUUCUCCUAUCUGCUUUUUCAUGAAUUUUGUAGGAGACGAAAAACCAUUUUUAGGAUCAUCUGCUUUCACAUGUAAAUUUUGACAUGUUUUGUAGUAAAUAGAUAGUUGAAUUUACUACAAAACAUGUCAAAAAAUAUAUGAAAACAGGAGGUGACUAUAAAAAAAGUUUUUAGUCUCUCUUACAAAACUCAUGAAAAAACAACUCGGAGGUAUGUCACAUCAGUGACUAAGAAUGUCUAAAAAAUAUACUUUGAUGUCCCAAGAACCAAAUAUAACCUACAGUCCAUCUAAUUUACUUACUGUUGCACGUCAUUAUCUAUGCCAGAGAUCUAAGUUGACAUAGUUGCCAAAGUAUAAAAAGAUCCUGAAUCCAUUUUAAAUCAAAUAUGUCACAUAAUUAUUGUAAACGUGGAUUAUACAACAAAACAAAUUAAUAUUCAAUGUAAAUAAGUAAAAACUUAAGAAAUAGAGAACAAGAAUUAAGUUAUAAUCUUUUAAGAUUUGCAGUGCAAGAGUUUUUGCACUGCAUUGUUAAUAAUUAAAAAACGGCUCCGAACUCUUGGCAAAAAGCCGGUAGGUUUCUUUGUAUAAGUAUGUCUACAAUAACAACUAAAAAAGUUGUCAGAUACCUCGAUUAUUCCAAGUCGUUAUAAAAUUAGGUGAAAUUUAUAUUUUUAUAGUAGAGGAUCUUUUUAUAGUAAAGUAAAUAAUAAAAACAGUAAAUAUAAUAAAUAAAACAGAUACUUAUAGUAAAGAAUAUAAACAAAUAUGAAGUGUCAUCACCGUAACUGUCAAAUAAAUGUUACCAAUUUAUUCUAAAAUGUCACCUUCGUUCGAUUACAGUUACAGUGUGAUCCGAACAAAUCUGCUUCAUAAAAACGCUUUAUAAUCCAUUUAUACAAAUUAAAUGAAACAUAUUAUUGUGUAUUUCUUUAGGUUAACAUUAAUAGAAAUCUUCAAAUAUUAUUUCUACGCGUAUAUAAUAAAAUAUGUCUAGUGGCUGUAAUUCCAGUGUACUCGGCAAAGUGAUUCUAAAAAAGAACACACCUACCGCCUAAAUAUUUCGUGUUGGUAUCAUGCAACCUCACAGGCUACGACGCGGAUGACGCGCAACAGUUAGUAAAUUAGACGAAGUAUGUAGAUAUAUACAGGGUGUAACAAAAAUACAGGUCAUAAAUUUAAUCACAUAUUCUGGGACCAAAAAUAGUUUGAUUGGACCUAACUUACCUUAGUACAAAUGUGCACACAAGAAAAGUUACAGCCCUUUGAAGUUAUAUAUAUAUAAUAGCACCAAGGGUCUUAGAGGCCCAUGGCUUGAAAAGUUUGUUUUUUUUCUUCAUUUUCACGUUUCUUUAUGUACUGAGAUCUUCUCUGGCUUGAUAUGUGAUUUUUCUCCAUUCCUUCCUGUUAUUCAUUUUUCUUUUCUGACCCUGUAGCACCAUUCUUUCCAAAUCUUUUUCGACCUCUUGCUUCCAUCUAUUUUUCGGCCUUCCUCUUCUCUUUCUUGAAGCUGUAGUGUAGUUUAGUACCAUUUUUGGAGUCCUCGUGUUUGGCAUCCUUUCAAUGUGACCUCGCCAUCUAAGUCUCUGUGCCUUUAUCAUUCAUUUGAAGUUACAAGAUGAAGUGAUUUUUUCCAAUAUAUCGAAAACUAUUAGAGAUUUUUUAUUGAAAAUGGACAUGUGGCAUUAUUAUGGCAGCA
rnacentral:lncRNA from 1 species